rnacentral:rRNA from 1 species
AGAGUUUGAUCAUGGCUCAGGAUGAACGCUAGCGGCAGGCUUAAUACAUGCAAGUCGAGGGGCAACAGGGGUAGCAAUACCUGCUGGCGACCGGCAAACGGGUGCGGAACACGUACAGAACCUUCCUUUAAGCGGGGGAUAGCCCGGAGAAAUCCGGAUUAAUACCCCAUAGUAAUGUUGUUUGGCAUCAGGUAACAUUUAAAGAUUUAUCACUUAAAGAUGGCUGUGCGUAUGAUUAGGUAGUUGGUUGAGGUAACGGCUCACCAAGCCUGCGAUCAUUAACUGGUGUGAGAGCACGACCAGUCACACGGGCACUGAGACACGGGCCCGACUCCUACGGGAGGCAGCAGUAAGGAAUAUUGGUCAAUGGACGCAAGUCUGAACCAGCCAUGCCGCGUGAAGGAUGAAGGCCCUCUGGGUUGUAAACUUCUUUUAUGUGGGAAGAAAUGCAUUCUUUAUAGAGUGUUUGACGGUACCAUAGGAAUAAGCACCGGCUAACUCCGUGCCAGCAGCCGCGGUAAUACGGAGGGUGCAAGCGUUAUCCGGAUUCACUGGGUUUAAGGGGUGCGUAGGUGGGCUUGUAAGUCAGUGGUGAAAUCUCCGUGCUUAACAUGGAAACUGCCAUUGAUACUAUAGGUCUUGAAUUUUCCGGAGGUUAGCGGAAUAUGUCUGUAGCGGUGAAAUGCUUAGAUAUGACAUAGAACACCAAUUGCGAAGGCAGCUAACUACAGGGACAUUGACACUGAGGCACGAAAGCGUGGGGAUCAAACAGGAUUAGAUACCCNNGUAGUCC